rnacentral:rRNA from 1 species
CCUACGGGUGGCAGCAGUGAGGAAUAUUGGUCAAUGGACGAGAGUCUGAACCAGCCAAGUAGCGUGAAGGAUGACUGCCCUAUGGGUUGUAAACUUCUUUUAUAUGGGAAUAAAAUGUUCCACGUGUGGGAUUUUGUAUGUACCAUAUUAAUAAGGAUCGGCUAACUCCGUGCCAGCAGCCGCGGUACUACGGAGGAUCCGAGCGUUAUCCGGAUUUAUUGGGUUUAAAGGGAGCGUAGGUGGAUUGUUAAGUCAGUUGUGAAAGUUUGCGGCUCAAACGUAAAAUUGCAGUUGAAACUGGCAGUCUUGAGUACAGUAGAGGUGUGCGGAAUUCGUGGUGUAGCGGUGAAAUGCUUAGAUAUCACGAAGAACUCCGAUGGCGAAGGCAGUUCACUGGACUGCAACUGACACUGAGGCUCGAAAGUGUGGGUAUCAAACAGGAUUAGAUACCCUUGUAGUC